GAUGAACGCUGGCGGCGUGCCUAAUACAUGCAAGUCGAGCGAACAGACGAGGAGCUUUCUCCUCUUACGUUAGCGGCGGACGGGUGAGUAACACGUGGAUAACCUACCUAUAAGACUGGGAUAACUUCGGGAAACCGGAGCUAAUACCGGAUAAUAUAUUGAACCGCAUGGUUCAAUAUUUAAAUACGUUUUUUCUGUCACUUAUAGAUUGAUCCGCGCCGCAUUAGCUAGUUGGUAAGGUAACGGCUUACCAAGGCAACGAUGCGUAGCCGACCUGAGAGGGUGAUCGGCCACACUGGAACUGAGACACGGUCAAGACUCCUACGGGAGGCAGCAGUAGGGAAUCUUCCGCAAUGGGCGAAAGCAUGACGGAGCAACGCCGCGUGAGUGAUGAAGGUCUUCGGAUCGUAAAACUCUGUUAUUAGGGAAGAAAAAAUGUGUAAGUAACUAUGCACGUCUUGACGGUACCUAAUCAGAAAGCCACGGCUAACUACGUG
rnacentral:rRNA from 1 species